UCACUCCACAGCUGUGGUUUUCAUGUGU
rnacentral:piRNA from 1 species